rnacentral:rRNA from 1 species
UACGUAGGGGGCAAGCGUUGUCCGGAUUUAUUGGGCGUAAAGAGCGUGUAGGCGGUCUGGUAGGUCCGUUGUGAAAACUCGAGCUCAACCUCGAGACGCCGAUGGAAACCCUCAGACUAGAGUCCGGAAGAGGAGAGUGGAAUUCCUGGUGUAGCGGUGAAAUGACGCAGAUAUCAGGAAGAACACCCGUGACUAAGGCGGCUCUCUAGUACGGUACUGACGCUGAGACGCGAAAGCGUGGGGGAGCGAACAGG